rnacentral:rRNA from 1 species
UACGGAGGGUGCAAGCGUUGCUCGGAAUUAUUGGGCGUAAAGGGUAGGUAGGUGGUCUCAUUUGUCUGGGGUGAAAGCCUUGAGCUUAACUCGAGAAGUGCCCCAGAAACGGUGAGACUGGAGUCCUGGAGAGGGUCGUGGAAUUCCCGGUGUAGCGGUGAAAUGCGUAGAGAUCGGAAGGAACACCAGUGGCGAAAGCGGCUUCCUGGACCAGUACCGACGUUCAGGCACGAAAGCGUGGGGAGCAAACAGG